GUAAUCUCUGCUACUCAGGAGGCUGAGCUUGAGCCUGGGAGGUUGAGGAUACAGCGAGCAGUGAUUGCUGGGUGACAGAGCAAGAUCUUUUCUCAAAAAUAAAAAACAAAGGAGGGGGAGGGGGAGGGGUCUUCUCCCCCAAAAGCCUUCCCUGACCUCCUCACAUGUCUAGUGAGGGGCUCCUCUGGUAUUCUCGCACCUCUGCCCUGGGCUUCUUUCUCCCCCAGCACUGAUCACAUUGGGUGCUAAUCUCUGGUUCUUGUGUCCAUGAGUUCCUCAAGGGCAGGACAGGAUCUUGUCUAUUUCUAUAUCCCUGGCACCAGGCAGGGACCUGUCACAGAGAGAGGCUCAGAGGAUGCUUGUUGAAUGAAUGAAUGAGGGAAUAAGUUAAUGACCACAUGAACAGCCACUUCUUCAGAAGGGUUUGGGACACAGGCAGGUCUUCCUCGUUCAACCCAAAAAAACAAAUUGUCAUCGGAGCUGGCGGGUCCUUUAGAGAUGAAUCCAGAGGCCAGGUGCGGUGGCUCAAGCUUGUAAUAGCACUUUGGGAGGCCGAGGCGGGUGGAUCACCUGAUGUCAGGAAUUCGAGACCAGCCUGGCCAACAUACUGAAACCCCG
rnacentral:lncRNA from 1 species